UUUCUUUCAUUGACAAACUUACUGAAGAAAUGAAUUCCAAAGCAUUCCUCUUUCUAGUUAUGUUCUUGGCUUCUAGUCUUCUUAUCUCAGCUAGGGUUGCACCCGAACACAUAAAAAACCAUGAUAAAGUUACACAGAUGGGUCUUCUUGGUGAGUGUGUUGAAGCUGGUCCGAAAUAUUGUUGUGUUGUAUGUUGUGGCUACAUCAAUGGCUACAUAUGUAGUUAUUGUCUUGCCUGUGUGGAAAAGUGAUGAAAAAUUUCCUGCUACUAAACAAGCAUGUUACAAAAAGAUUCAUGGUAUCACACUAAAAAAGAAGCACCAUGGGAAGUGACUGUAGUAAUGAAUAAGAGAAGUAACUUUUCGCUCUAAUGCUAAAUGAAUAAUGGACUUUACAUUAUCCCCUUUAA